rnacentral:rRNA from 1 species
UUGGAGGGCAAGUCUGGUGCCAGCAGCCGCGGUAAUUCCAGCUCCAAUAGCGUAUAUUAAAGUUGUUGCAGUUAAAAAGCUCGUAGUUGAAUUUCGGGAUCAAAUUGUUGGUCGUGCCUUGGUACGUACUGGCAUUAUUGGUUUCUCCCUUCUGAAGAACCAUGAUGUCAUUAAUUUGGUGUCAUGGGGAAUCAGGACUGUUACUUUGAAAAAAUUAGAGUGUUUAAAGCAGGCUCGCGCUUGAAUACAUUAGCAUGGAAUAAUGAAAUAGGACGUUUAAUUCUAUUUUGUUGGUUUCUAGGAUUGACGUAAUGAUUAAUAGGGAUAGUUGGGGGCAUUAGUAUUCAAUUGUCAGAGGUGAAAUUCUUGGAUUUAUUGAAGACUAACUACUGCGAAAGCAUUUGCCAAGGAUGUUUUCAUUAAUCAAGAACGAAAGUUAGGGGAUCGAAGACGAUCAGAUACCGUCGUAGUCUUAACCAUAAACUAUGCCGACUAGGGAUCGGAUGAUGUUAAUUUUUUAAUGACUCAUUCGGCGCCUUACGGGAAACCAAAGUGUUUGGGUU